CCUACGGGUGGCAGCAGUGAGGAAUAUUGGUCAAUGGGCGCAAGCCUGAACCAGCCAAGUAGCGUGAAGGAUGACUGCCCUACGGGUUGUAAACUUCUUUUAUAAGGGAAUAAAGUGAGGCACGUGUGCCUUUUUGUCUGUACUUUAUGAAUAAGGAUCGGCUAACUCCGUGCCAGCAGCCGCGGUAAUACGGAGGAUCCGAGCGUUAUCCGGAUUUAUUGGGUUUAAAGGGAGCGUAGAUGGGUUGUUAAGUCAGUUGUGAAAGUUUGGGGCUAAACCGUAAAAUUGCAAUUGAUACUGGCAGGCUUGAGUACAGUGGAGGUAGGCGGAAUUCGUGGUGUAGCGGUGAAAUGCUUAGAUAUCACGAAGAACUCCGAUUGCGAAGGCAGCUUACUAGACUGCCACUGACACUGAUGCUCGAAAGCGUGGGUAGCAAACAGGAUUAGAUACCCGAGUAGUC
rnacentral:rRNA from 1 species